UCCACGGACCCACCUACUCCCACAGAUAGC
rnacentral:piRNA from 1 species